rnacentral:rRNA from 1 species
GACGAACGCUGGCGGCGUGCUUAACACAUGCAAGUCGAACGGAAAGGCCCUGCUUUUGUGGGGUGCUCGAGUGGCGAACGGGUGAGUAACACGUGAGUAACCUGCCCUUGGCUUUGGGAUAACUUCAGGAAACUGGGGCUAAUACCGGAUAGGAGCUCCUGCUGCAUGGUGGGGGUUGGAAAGUUUCGGCGGUUGGGGAUGGACUCGCGGCUUAUCAGCUUGUUGGUGGGGUAGUGGCUUACCAAGGCUUUGACGGGUAGCCGGCCUGAGAGGGUGGACGGGCCACAUGGGACUGAGGGACGGGCCAGACGCCAACCGGGGGCAAGAGGUGGGAAUUUUAGCCAAAGGGGCGGAGGCUUGAUGCAACACCGCGGGAUGGGGAAGAACGGCUUGGGGGUGGAAACCGCCUUAGGCUUAUACCUAGCUGUAGUGACGGUAAUUGGUGAAGAAGCACCGGCUAACUACGUG